UAAAACUCAUCAUUAAUUUGAACUUUGUGGUGUAGACUUACACAGCUGAAUUUACAGCGAAGAGUCUAGAGAUAAACCUUUUCAGUGUGUAGAAUAAAGCUUACUUUAUCGCUAAAUAUGGAAACGUCAAGUUUUAGUCCCACUACAGCGAGGGAACUAACAGUUUUUAUUCAAAAUACAUUCCAACAGCUACAGGACAAGUUAAACAAGACAGAGGACGCGAUAGUAACACGUUUCAAUACGACUGGUAAAAGAAUUGAUCAGAUCGAGAAAUCUCUAGUUGAACUUAUGGACCAUGCAGGCGUAAAUGAGCCAUAUGACGAUGAAGAGAGCGAAUCAGAACUUUCGGAGACGUACAAGGACGAAAAUGAAUGAAGAAUUUGAACGGAUGAAAGAACUAACUUGACGCGUGCUUUUACAAUGUUGCUAAGGGAGCCCUCAAGCGUCGGGUGGAAUCGUGGAAUCCAGCUGAGAUAACCUGUUACUCUUUAUUACUUUAAGCAUUUUGGGAAGUUUUAACUUUUAUAGCAGAAAUGGACAAUUCAUUGAAGAAUUCAAGGGAUUUAUCAACAGUGUGCUAACGUCUUCAGUUUCUCCGAGGACUUAUUCGGUUAUUCCUUGUAUUACGUAGUUUGUUCUGUAUUUAAGUCAGAUUAAAAGAUUUUUACUGUUUAGUUUGUAAUUUUGUAUUCUGGUUGUGUUGUUGGCGGAGUAAUAAAAUUUGUUUGUGG